rnacentral:rRNA from 1 species
GCUUGACUAUUAACAUAAACAGCCCUAUCACAAGGCUGUUCGCCAGAGGAUUACAAGUAAAAACUAGAAACUCCAAGGACUUGGCGGUGCCCCACAUCAACCUAGAGGAGCCUGUCCUAUAAUCGAUAACCCCCGAUCUACCUAACCUCUUUUUGAAACUCAGCCUAUAUACCGCCGUCGUCAGYUUACCUCGUGAAAGAAGAAAAGUAAGCAAAAAAGUUACUAACAAAAACGUCAGGUCAAGGUGUAGCACAUAAAGUGGAAGAGAUGGGCUACACUCUCUUAAAAAGAGAACACUAACAGCACGAUGAAAGAAAGCUCUAAGGUGGAUUUAGCAGUAAGUUAGGCAAGAACGCCUACCUAAAAUUAGCCCUGAGGCGCGCACACACCGCCCGUCA